rfam:Candidatus Syntrophoarchaeum caldarius isolate BOX2 BOX2_8_reassembly_contig01, whole genome shotgun sequence.
UUGCGGGCUAGUCCGGGGUGUUCGGCGUGCCCUGUAACUCGAAAUCGUCGAUAUGCGAGGGACGAAGCUCCGGGAAGACGUUGUUUCUGCCACUUCAGCCUGGAUCUCCAACAAUGAGAUCUCGUCCUGUAGGGCUGGCGGUGAGAUGGUGGCUAACCGGAGGGUUUGUCAUCACUUUUCGCCAGGGAGAUCGGUCGAGGCCCGGAAGGGAGCAGGCUUACCCUGGACGUUCGGCGCUUACGGGGGUGCGAGAUCGAGGCGGAUUCCAGUCAAACUGGGUGGCAGAACAGCGGCGACCUGGGGCGUGCCCGCUU